UACGGAGGGGGGCUAGCGUUGUUCGGAAUCACUGGGCGUAAAGGGCGCGUAGGCGGCUUUAUAAGUCGGGGGGUGAAAGCCUGUGGCUCAACCACAGAAUUGCCUUCGAUACUGUAGAGCUUGAGACCGGAAGAGGUAAGUGGAACUGCGAGUGUAGAGGUGAAAUUCGUAGAUAUUCGCAAGAACACCAGUGGCGAAGGCGGCUUACUGGUCCGGUUCGUGAC
rnacentral:rRNA from 1 species